GUUUUAAUACAAGUCUAGAGUGGCACAAAUUAAUUUGUAGAAUCCUGUCGGGCCCCCACUUCCUGCACUCGGAGUACAGAGUGGAGAUUCAGCCCUGACACAUACUAUGAACAAAAUUGAUCAUUAUUCUAGAAGAGUGAACAUAGGGUACAGACUUGCACAGUGUAUGUCUUUGUGUUCCAACAUA